rnacentral:lncRNA from 1 species
CACGUCCAUGUGCGCGCUCGUGCGCCCCUCCGUCGCCCAGCCUACGCGUGCAUCGUCGCGAUCGCCCGCUAUCGUGCUCCUGUUGUUGCCCUGCUACUGCUGCCAUUUGCCACUGCUGCUACUUGAUGUACUGCUUGCAGCUACCAUGCUGCCGCUUCCACGCGUCGUAUGCUCGGCCACUCCCGUGUCAUUGCUGCAGCUGGCAUGGCAAGGCCAUGGCCAAGUACGCCAUGCGUGUUUGUGCUGUGUGCACAUGCGUGUGUGUGAUGUGUAUGGUGUGCACGGCCAUGUACGUGUGUGUGGCCGGCUGGUUAGUCUAAUUAGUGGUUAUUGUAAAGAGUAAAAAGGAAAGAGAGAGCAAAUGAUUAAACAGUUGUCUCACUGAUUGAAGAUGUGGGUAUAUAUACCCUAGUACAAAGGCGGUUACAAGGAGCAGUUGUUAAACUAAAGCAACUGACAUAGCAGGGAUUAUCCCUUAAUUAAUUCCUAACACUCCCCCU